rnacentral:rRNA from 1 species
CACGUAGGGGGCGAGCGUUGUUCGGAAUUACUGGGCGUAAAGGGCAUGUAGGCGGCUUGGUAAGCCUGGCGUGAAAGACUGCAGCUUAACUGUAGGGAUGCGUUGGGAACUGCUUAGCUUGAGUUACGGAGAGGGAGCUGGAAUUCCUGGUGUAGGGGUGAAAUCUGUAGAUAUCAGGAAGAACACCGAUGGCGAAGGCAAGCUUCUGGUCGAUAACUGACGCUGAGGUGCGAAAGUGUGGGGAUCAAACAGGAUUAGAAACCCCUGUAGUCC